CCUAUCCUAUAACAAAACCCUCUAUCCCUUUCUCUCUCUCUCCCUUUCGAAAAAAAUGCUUCAUACUGAGUUUAGAAAGAAGAAAGAAGCUAAAUUCAGCUGAGAAAUUGGUGGGUUACAAAAAAAUUCCGCUAAUCAAUUUCUUCUCUAUGGUGGUGAAGGCGAAGGCAAGUUGUAGUACAUAAUUCAUUAAACAAGACAAAGAAUUAAAGCUAAGAGAGCAAGAGAAAAGAGUGAUUGCUUGCUAAGUUUCUUAUUGCUAGCUUUUCCCUUUUUGCUUCCACUAUCCUUCUUCUUUUUGCAAUUAUCACGACCCUUUACGCCUUAUUGUCUUGUCAUUAGUUGUGUUUGACUUAAAAUAA
rnacentral:lncRNA from 1 species